rnacentral:lncRNA from 1 species
UUAAUUAGAAAAUUAGUGUCGUCUGCUUUAGUUUGGUUUCACAGUUUCGACUUUCGAAAAAGAUUUCAUAGAAAACUGAACGAUCGAUCACUUUUUGGAAACGUACGUGACUGCACGAAAUAAUAUCAUAACAUAACAAAUAAAAUUACGAAAAUAUGGUCAUCUCAGUUCAUUUCUGGUGUCGCAGCUCAUCAUGCUUUCCACUUCAUGCCGUUUGGUUGAUUUGAGGACAAAGCCAGCCAUCUGAUUAUCAACAAGAUAUUAAAGUUUUUCUUGUCCUGGAUCUGUCAUCAGCAUCAAUCUCAGUGUCAUCGCUUGAAUAAACAAAAUCCAUUUUGGUUGGAGAUCCUACCGAUGUCGGUCGAGUUCCUGAUCUCUUCUUCCCUUCUUUCUUGAAAUGUCCUCGUGUACAUCCAUGUGAGUGUGGGUGUAUUCACGAGGAUCUCCUCUUUCCUAUCCCACCUGGUGUAACAGUCAAAUCUUCUGCGGAUGGAGUACUUGUGGAUGGAUGCCUGGCCGUAUUUCCCAGGCAGAAAGAUUUGAGGCCUGGACCAGCAUGUAACCACAACAUAUGCAAGCUAUUAACCACAGCAACAUUCUCAGUAUCAUUGCUUGGUUAAUGAUUUUCGUUACUUUUAUCAACCUGU